rnacentral:snoRNA from 1 species
AAGACUAUACUUUCAGGGAUUAUUUCAGAUAAACUUCUAGAGUUUCUCUGAACCUGUAGAGCACCAGAAACCAUGAAAAGAGGGUGUAGCAUUCUCUCCUGCGUGUGAGGCCGGCUCUUGGUGCUGCUACCUCACUGAAACUGCCAUUGCCACUGAUGAUCAUUCUUCUCUUACUCUGAGAGAGAAAGAGAGAGAGAAUACAGUCUGAGUGGU